CUUUGGAAGACCUUGAUGAAGACAUCAGCUGCAGCAUUCCCAAACCCCGAUGGAGGGAAAAAGGAAUAAAUUUCAGGCUUAAUUUAACAGGAGGAAAGAAUUUUGGUUUAUUCUGCUAUCAAAAUUUGGAGCAGCUUUUUAAGGGUCCAAUCAUGCAACUGGACCCAUGCAAACAGACUCCUAAACGUAUUGACUAAAAUUUUAGUGUGUGACAAAUGAGGAAUUGGGAGUUAAUUUUUAACCUCGUGUACACUUACAACUUUGUGGUAACAUGUUUACAAUUACUUGAUCUACCAAAUUCUAGGUGAAAACAGCAAUCAACGUGUAUAAAACACUUUCAUAUGA